GACAGAGGGUGCAAACGUUGUUCGGAAUUACUGGGCGUAAAGCGCGUGUAGGCGGCCCUGCAAGUCGGAUGUGAAAUCCCACGGCUCAACCGUGGAAGUGCAUUCGAAACUGCAGGGCUAGAGUCCUGGAGAGGAAGGUGGAAUGCUUGGUGUAGAGGUGAAAUUCGUAGAUAUCAAGCGGAACACCGGUGGCGAAGGCGGCCUUCUGGGACAGUGACUGACGCUGAGACGGCGAAAAGCGUGGGGAGCAAACAGGG
rnacentral:rRNA from 1 species